rnacentral:piRNA from 1 species
UCCUCUUGCUCCAGCAACUUCUCCUCUUGC